GAAAAUAAAAAAAUAACUAUAACGAUAGAUCAUCCAAUUUUACGACUCAGUUGUGGUGGCCAAAUGUUACCAUCCUCCAAAUAUCUCAAUAGAACUGCAAAUACAUCAAACAUGCUUAUUACAGUUUUACAAGGCCAAAAAUAAAAUUUCUAGGCCUUCAACACCCCCUUCCAGUGCCUUCUCUAGAACCAUUACGAAACUUCCAAUACCUUGUCAGCAACCAUCACCAGUGAUUACAUACCUCAUUCUUCUAAAUCCUAACACAACAUAAACAAACAAAAUACAAACAUGUUUAACCAUUGUAAACGUAAUAACUAACUUAUAUAACAAUAAAAAUUUACGCUAUAUAACUAUACAGCCUCCACAUCUGUUUCAAUCUAUGAUUCCUCGUCCACAAUCUUCACUUCUGCUGUACAGGUAGAUGCCACAGGUAUUAAAUAAAUACUAAUGAGACCACAAUUAAGUCAGUAGUACUUGCGUUUAACAAAUGAAUAUUUUAUAUUACAGUGUAAACCAUAUACCUCCACAACGAGCACACAUCCAUUAUUCAACUUUCACUACACAUCAUAGCCUCAACAUGCCUUGAUGAAUACACUACUUAUUGGACUCAAUGAAUUUAAAUAAUGUUGGUAUCAAUAACACCUCCACUAAUCAAUACAUAAACCAUAACUCACUUUACUAUCUUUUACUAACCAAAGCUCCAAUGCAAUAGUCCGCGUGUAUAUACCUAUAAACAAAUGAAUGCCCCCCAUCAAUUUUCGUUUCUUCAUCGAUUAUAAAGGCAUCCUACAGAAAAUUCGAACAAUUCACUUUUCUAACUUUUCCAUGCAAUCUCUUUCAAACCAAUCCUCUAUCUAACCAUAACUUUAAAUUUAUGCAAGUCUUUUCAUCUUAAAGCCGAUAAAUGUAUUAUGCGUGGCAAACAAAGACAAUUAUAUUAUACAUAUACUUAAAGUGAAUGACCAACCAAAGCACACGCCUCACUAACAAAGUGGUUACAGAUCGAACCACUAAUAUUAUGCCAUUUUUUCCAUUUGUUCUUCGGUGACUCUGUAUGUAUGUAAUUAACCAUUAUUUUUAUGCACCCACUGUCGAUAUUUACUAAUAUACAAUAAAAAAAUUACAUCUACACAAAGUAUGAGCCACCGAAAAUCAAAAGCAUCCAUUGAAACUAUGUUUCUUUCCUUAACAAUUAACCCAUAAAUAAGGUUUAACAUGUCAAUGAUUACCCCACUGCUCAAACCCCUUUACUGUAUUUAUUUCAACCCCUAUACUAUAUUUAUUUCAACCUGAGCAAACCCAGCCAUUCACCUCUUCGCAACCUAGGCAUUUCGAACACCACAUCUUCGAAAUCAACUACAAAAACGCAUUCACAAACAUGAAGCCUACCUAUGCAUGCGAAACGACUCUUCCAGUGCCUGCAAAAAUGCCAGAUUCAUAAUACCAACAAGGCCAUCUUCAAUAAUACAGACAUCAAUAGAAUAUAAUUUCAUAAAUCGGCAGCAACAUUUUUCUUACGGCAAAAUCAAAAUCACGACCACCAAAAAACACACAUUCAUUUACGAUUUAAGGAAAGAAUCUUUACCCUUCCUUGCCUAACGAAAUUUCCGGUUAUUCCCCUCUCUCGCAAAUGUCAGAUUUGAGAUUCAAAUUUGUUUCACAUCCUAUUCUUGUAUUUUUUUUUUUUCCAUGGACUUCAAGACCUUCAUUAGACAACCGGUUUAAACGGUUGUUGUUACUACCUGCGUCCGCUCUCCAAACUUUUAUUUAAACCGUUGGAUUGAACAUACUUAUAUCCAACGGCUUAACAGAAUAAAGACAAACCACAGUGGCACGGUGCCACUGUGGCACC
rnacentral:lncRNA from 1 species